GUUGACCUCGGAUCGGGUAGGGAUACCCGCUGAACUUAAGCAUAUC
rnacentral:rRNA from 1 species